UUCGCAAUGCCCGAAAGGGUGACGAAGCGACGCCGCGUGUGGGAAGAAGGCCUUCGGGUUGUAAACCACUGUCGGGAGUUAAGAAAUGCAAGGAUAUGAAUAGUGUCUUUGCUUGACUAAGGCUCCGGAGGAAGCCACGGCUAACUCUGUGCCAGCAGCCGCGGUAAUACAGAGGCGGCAAGCGUUGUUCGGAAUUAUUGGGCGUAAAGAGCACGUAGGCGGCUAUGUAAGUCGGUUGUGAAAGCCUUCCGCUCAACGGGAGAACAGCAUCCGAUACUACAUGGCUUGAGUGCGGGAGGGGAGAGUGGAGCUUCUGGUGGAGCGGUGAAAUACGUAGAUAUCAGAAGGAACGCCGGCGGCGAAAGCGGCUCUCUGGCCCAUAACUGACGCUGAGUGUGCGAAAGCUAGGGGAGCAAACGGGAUUAGAUACCCCGGUAGUCCUAGCCGUAAACGAUGGGCACUAAGUAGAGGGGUUUU
rnacentral:rRNA from 1 species